rnacentral:lncRNA from 1 species
AGAAACUUUAAAGAUAAUAAUAAAAUUCGACAUUACUAUACAAAACUUAAAGGUAAAAGACGACAUAAAAAAAUAGACUCCAAAUAUAAAAGAAAAGAAAAUCUUCUUUUAAUCCACUCCUGAAUGAGCGAUCUUGACUAGAUGUCCUGGGGCCCUGUCAUGCUCAGACUCCGGUAAGAGUAAAUCCACACAUGUAUGAGAAAAUUAAAAUCAAAUAGGUUAAAUAUCUAGAACACUAUGUGAGACAAUAACCCUUCCUAUUGGAAACAUGCAAGACACAUUUAGGCUAUUUUUGCAAAAUGGCUUAUUUGGCCAAAAGAUGGCUAGAAGUGCAAAAUUUGGCUAAGACCCCAUAAAGCCAAGAACCUAAGAUUUACUAGGAAGACCGGACCCAAUGUAGGUUGCCUACAUAUUACGCCCCGAAAGACGAGAAUCAGGUAUGCGUAGUUCGGGCAGAUUGGAUACGAGUAAUAAUUAAAAAACUAAUUUAGAUAAAAUAUAUUUAUUUUGCCUUUUUUUUUGAAACAUGACGAAACUUGUAAACUCUUUUUUGGAUUUUCUUUUCUCCCUUUUUUUGAUUUUCGAAAAAUAAUGAAAAAGUAAAAAAUCUUUUUUUUUGAAUUUUUCGUGUUUUUUUCCUUAACAAAAGUGUGACAGAAACAUAAUUGGUCCUACUUGCUUGAUUUUCACACUUUACCCUCUUUUUUCUUUUUCUUUUUCUUUUUUAUUCUUUCUUUUUUCAUUUGCCCUCAAUUGUCAAUGGUCUGCCAAAUGACCCUUUUACCCUUGAAGGAAUGCAACAUGUAGCACAUACAAUGCAUCAAAUUGGUCUAAUAUUUUGGGUACACCUGUCCUAGACGGACCUAACCCUUGUGGUGAGACCCCUAAGUCAAAUACACAUGAUGCAAACAAACGUUCUUACUAGGGAUCAAGCAUGCGACUGUGUUUUUCUAGGUUUAAAUCCUGGGGUCUUGUUCUAGACUUGGGGUAUCCAAGCGGACAACUGGGGCCAAAGAGGGGGCGACGUACCAGGAACACUAAGUCUACCCGGCCUUGUCGCUUGCCUAUCCUCGUUUUAUUUGGUGUGAUUUAUAUAGAAAGAGCGGGCCAUGCGAACGUGUACACCAUUUUUAGAAGACUUAGAGGGAUGUCGUAAGAAGACAAUUAUAUACAAUUCAAAUAAUAUCAAAGCAGUAAAUAGACGGCAAUUAGCACAAAAGGUUCACAAAAUACAGUAAUAUUAACUAUAAAUGAAUGCAAAGUAAAAUCAUAUUAAUAAGCUCAAAUUCUUAAACCAUGUACCAGAGAUUUUGGGUUCGAUUCCCUAGCAAAGUCGCUAGAGCUGUCACACUCCCUAUUUCCUACACCCGAAAGGGUAUAAGGGAGUUUUUUUUUUAAAUUUAAGUGACAAUCGAAACGGGACAAUUUUUAUUAGAUUCCGAGUCGCCACUUGGGAUAAUUUAUGGUGUCCCAAGUCACUGGCUUUAAAAUCCCAAAUCGAGGAAAAGGUUAACUCUAUUUACGGUCCACGAAAAUAGAAAUCUAGGUAAGGAAUACUAUUAAUCCAGAAGAAGGUGUUAGGCAUUCACGAGUUCCGUAGUUCUAGCACGGUCGCUUUGAUCAUACUUGGCUUAUAAAAUUAUUCAAUUACUCAUUUAGAACCUAUGUGUAUUUAUCUCUUACCGCUUUUAAAUUAAAAAAAAAUUAUAUUGAAAUGAGUCAUGCGUAUGUGUACCCAUUUGUUUGGCGCGCCCACAGUUAAUAACGCUUUAUUUUUAUUAAAAAAUUUAUUCGAAGUUGCGCGAACGCAUACUCCAAUUUUAUUUAUAGAAUAGCAAUCGUGUCACGCGAACGUGUCCAUGACCACAAUAAUAUAUUAAACGUGCCUAAAGAAAACUAUAAUCAUUCGUUAUUUAUUAUAUCUAAAUUAUGAAAUUAAUACGAGGACCAUGUGGAACUAUAUUGUGGAUGGCACACCUUGGACUAUAUGAGCUAAAUUAAUUAAUAUCCCAUGAAAACUCAUAUUUAUUAUUAAGAAAAUUUGAUUGAAGUUGUAUGAACGCAUACUCCGAAUUUGUUUUUAGAAUUGUAAUUAUGUUACGUAUAUACAAUUACGGUAAUUCGUGCACACACCUAUGUCACAAAAUAAAACUUUACUUAUUUUUGAAGUCAUCAAAGUUACUUUUCUCUUCACUGUAGUAGAUUCCAUUUAUGUCUACUACCACUAAUACUUAUAGGGAUUAGAGAUGCUAUCCAUGACAAGAGUAUAAGAAGACGAUACAGGAUUCAGAAACAAAGCCUCAUAUUUUCAACAGUUUCAAAUAGCUAGAAACAUUGAUAGAUACAAAGAAAGUGUUACCGCAAAUUUUCAAUGACUACACCAGUGAAACAAAAUCAAAAUGACAAAUCCAACUAACAAGAUAGUUAAGUGAUAAAAAAUAUACAUCGCAAUGAAUAAUUUUCAAAAAUUUCAUGCUUCAAAAGAUAUAUUCACAUAUAUAGCACUCAAAUAUUUAAACGAGAAUUGAAGGAUGAACCUCAAAUGAGAAAGUUUCUUUCAUGUCAAUAACUAACCUUCAACGUCGGAUUACAAUGAAAAAUUCUUACAAGCUUGAAAGCGAGCAGGAUGUUGAUUGGAGCUCUACCAUACGACCUCGCUAGUUCAACCGCAAACUACACCGACGACUUCGAUGGAACUCAAACUCAAAAAUGGCGCUGCAUUAUGUGAAAAAAAUUUGUUUUAAGGUGCUUUCAAUGAAGUUUUUGGCUGGUUUUUGGGUGUAAAAUGGUGAUGACGUGGGGUAGUUUUGCGGCUGAAUUCUGGUGCGAUUUUGGGGUGGUUUUGCUGAAGUUUUUGAGCUGGUUUAUGAACUGUUUUCUGAAGCUGAUUUUGGACUGUUUGAUGCCGUUUUUCAGCUUAGUUUUUGGGGUAACUCUCAUGAGUUUUUGGAGGAAGAACAUAAACAGCUGCUGCGUUUUCUCAUCUAAAGUAGCUUUUUUUUCUUUUGUAAUGCUGCGGCGCAGAUUCCUCACUUUUCUCGUUGUGUUUGUGUAUAGUUGGGAGAAUGACAAAGAUGAGAGAAUCCAUUAAGAGAGAUUGGAAAGAAUUCCUUGGGGAGUAGAAUCGGUUCCCUCUAUGUUUUUUCCUUCAAGCUGCCCACAGGUUCCCCCCNN